CCGCCUGCCGGCCCCGACCGCUGCGGGCCUGGAGGAGUCGGCCGAGCUGCCCCCGCGCCCUGCCCGGAUAUUUGAAGCAAUUGCUUUACGGAAGCCAUCUGACUGCUGAUCUACAAUGUAGAUGCUCAAGAGGUGUUGACAGCUGAAGGAAGAAAUGCUUGUGAAAGAACUGUAAGUUGUAAACCCUUGUUACUAUGUUCAUCAUUGUUACACAGGUGACUGUGUAUAUGGGGGA